CCUACGGGAGGCAGCAGUGGGGAAUUUUGGACAAUGGGGGCAACCCUGAUCCAGCCAUGCCGCGUGAGUGAAGAAGGCCUUCGGGUUGUAAAGCUCUUUCGGCCGGAACGAAAUCGCGCACGUGAAUAACGUGCGUGGAUGACGGUACCGGAGUAAGAAGCACCGGCUAACUACGUGCCAGCAGCCGCGGUAAUACGUAGGGUGCGAGCGUUAAUCGGAAUUACUGGGCGUAAAGCGUGCGCAGGCGGUUCGCUAAGUCAGACGUGAAAGCCCCGGGCUUAACCUGGGAACGGCGUUUGAAACUGGCGGGCUCGAGUACGGCAGAGGGGGGUGGAAUUCCACGUGUAGCAGUGAAAUGCGUAGAUAUGUGGAGGAACACCGAUGGCGAAGGCAGCCCCCUGGGCCGAUACUGACGCUCAUGCACGAAAGCGUGGGGAGCAAACAGGAUUAGAUACCCUGGUAGUCCACGCCCUAAACUAUGUCAACUAGUUGUCGGGGAAGCAAUUCCUUGGUAACGCAGCUAACGCGUGAAGUUGACCGCCUGGGGAUCGGUCGCAAGAUUAAAACUCAAAUGAAUUGACGGCUGAGACGCGACGACGACACGAGGGAGGUAGGAG
rnacentral:rRNA from 1 species